rnacentral:rRNA from 1 species
UACGUAGGGUGCGAGCGUUAAUCGGAAUUACUGGGCGUAAAGCGUGCGUAGACGGCUAUCUAAGUCGGGUGUGAAAGCCCCGGGCUCAACCUGGGAAUUGCAUUCGAGACUGAAUAGCUAGGGUACGGUAGAGGGAAGCGGAAUUUCCGGUGUAGCGGUGAAAUGCGUAGAUAUCGGAAGGAACAUCAGUGGCGAAAGCGACUUCCUGGACGAAUACUGACGCUCAUGUGCGAAAGCGUGGGGAGCAAACAGG